GACGAACGCUGGCGGCGUGCUUAACACAUGCAAGUCGAGCGACGCUCUUCCUUCGGGGAGAUGACGGAGCGGCGAACGGGUGAGUAACACGUGGGCAACCUGCCCCUAGCUCUGGGACAACACCGGGAAACCGGUGCUAAUACCGGAUACGACAUCGAGCGGCAUCUCUCGAUGUGGAAAGUUUUUUCGGCUAGGGAUGGGCCCGCGGCCUAUCAGCUUGUUGGUGGGGUAAUGGCCCACCAAGGCGACGACGGGUAGCCGGCCUGAGAGGGCGACCGGCCACACUGGGACUGAGACACGGCCCAGACUCCUACGGGAGGCAGCAGUGGGGAAUAUUGCGCAAUGGGCGAAAGCCUGACGCAGCGACGCCGCGUGAGGGAUGACGGCCUUCAGGUUGUAAACCUCUUUCAGCAGGGACGAAUUCAGACGGUACCUGCAGAAGAAGCACCGGCCAACUACGUG
rnacentral:rRNA from 1 species